CUUACAUUUUAUCUUCUUUUGUUGAAGAAGAGUUACCAAGAAUGAUUACAAUUUAUCGAUCAAAAUGUCACAUUUAAGUAGUGACAUGGCAAAAUGUCAUGGCCAUGAUGGAACCGUAAUUCAAAUCCUCCUCUCUAGAGGAAAUUAAAGAAAAUAUUUUAUGUACAGUAGCAAUCUUUCCAGUGUGGUAGAGCAAGAAAUGCACAUGAGAUUAAAGACUACACUCAGGAGUGGGUCAUAAGAAUGCAAUAAAUAAAUCUAUUUAGCAACGAAGUUAUUUCCAGCAGAGUGGAGAAGGAAAAGAGAAUUCACCAGGAAAACUCCCUGAACCAGGAGGGUCAGGAAUGAGACUGAGAAGAGGAACAUCUCUGAGGUUGAUUCUUCCCAAGGACUAUCCCAAACAGAUGACAAACACACAGGCUGCAUGGCAGGGAGGCGAGCUGCAGAAGAGCAUCGAUGGAAACUGAGAGAGAUGACAUGAAACAGAACUUCCCAAGAAAGACUCCAUUACUGUACAGUCACAACAUGUCCAGACAAAACAAAGAGAAAAACCUGUC